GACGAACGCUGGCGGCGUGCCUAAUACAUGCAAGUCGAACGCAGUGGGGACGGGUGAGUAACACGUGGGUAACCUCCCAUCAGAGGGGAGAACACUUGGAAACAGGUGCUAAACCGAUACUGAUGGAUGGACCCGCGGUGGAUUAGCUGGUUGGUGAGGUAACGGCUCACCAAGGCCACGAUGCAUAGCCGACCUGAGAGGGUGAUCGGCCACACUGGGACUGAGACACGGCCCAGACUCCUACGGGAGGCAGCAGUAGGGAAUCUUGGGCAAUGGACGAAAGUCUGACCGAGCCACGCCGCGUGAGUGAAGAAGGUUUUAGGGUCGUAAAACUCUGUUGUUAGAGAAGCGGUAUCUAACCAGAAAGCACCGGCUAACUCCGUGCCAGCAGCCGCGGUAAUUC
rnacentral:rRNA from 1 species